CCGAAACGGUUCGGAAUCAGUUUCACUCCCUCCUUCUUUGGGGUUGAUCUAGUUGAGUUUUGGGGCCUACUUCCAGGCGAGCAGCUCUUCUUAGGUCUUUAGCUUCUCCAGUAAUCCAGCCUUUCUGGACUUAACUUGAACCCCUUAACAAGAACUUGUCCAGUCAUCAUUUUCUCUUAAAUCUGUGCCUUUGCGUUUUGAAGCAUCCAUUUAAACGCCAAAUGUGAUUUUCAAAAUGUUUUUUCGCUUUAAAGCCCACCUGCUACACACUCCCUGAGCCCAUUUUGUUUAAUUGCUUAAUAGAAAAAAUUAAGCAGUUUCUUGGAGAAUGCAAUUUCCCUUCAGCACACACAACAGCAGCUGCUGGAGCCCCCAGAAACAGAGCAAGGAACAGAGCCGGUAGCAUUUUGUUUCGCUAGAAUGACUAUUAGUUGAAAUCUUAAAUGCCUCUUUAAAAGGCUGAAUUAAGUGGUAUACUGUGAAUAUUAAGAUACUCAGAUCAUUAGAGAGUUAAAAUAAUUUUUUAAAGGUGAAUGUACAUCAAUGUGGGCCUGAAAGUUCUGGUGGAAGGUUGUUUACUGCUCCCCAGGAUGAUCUAUCCCACCCCUAGGAAGGACCCCUGAAGGCCGCCUGCAGUGAAAUGCUGAGUUUUCACCUUGUUUCAGUCAGAAGGAUCCAAAGAAGACAGCCAAGUGGCAGUUGAAGUGGAAAUGAGAGCAUUUGGGAAGAUGUGUAAACUCAGCAUCCCCUUUCUUCUGGGAAGAAUCAACUUUUCUUAAGAAAGUGCAUCCCUGGGCGGCAGCCAACACUGCCAGGUGCACCGGAACUUGCCCCUGGGAGCCCCACUGCCCCUGCACACAGGACACUGCAGUCCUGAGCUGGCCUACGUGAAGCACAGAGAGAAAGCCUGUUUGUUCCACCGUCUCCUCCACCAGCUGGGCUGGGCCCCUGGCUCUGGGGCCUCUCUUCCCGAGGGAAUCACCCUUUGGACACAUAAUCUGUGUCCAUGUCUCAACCAUGGGUAAUGGCUUAUAGGAACAGAGAAAGCCCUCUUCCCAGAAAACCUCGGAAGACAAGGGCGCUGGUCAAGAUGGUGCAUCUGAUUCUUCUGGCUAUACUUUCUAUAUGUGUCUCUCCAGCAAAUCCCUCUGAUCUACUGCAAAAUUAAUUAACUGACAUGCUAUUCGCUAUAAGUCAAACAUGGAGGGGGUGCCCUGCCCUGGGGUUCUGGUGAAGAAACUUACAUAGACUUGGGGUUUGGUGGAGAGUAACGUGUCAGCACUGCCUUUUGGAAGGUGCCCCCACCACCUUGUUGACGGCUCGAAUUGCUGGAUGGAGGAAAAGUAAGCUGAGCUGUGGUUGUUCCUGCAUGAAGAAUAUCCGUGCCCCCCAGAAUUAGUUGAAGAAUUUUGAGGGAAAAUGUAUAUACCUGUUGAAUUACUAAUCGGAUACAGUCCUAUUCGUGUUUA